GGUUAAGCGACUAAGCGUACACGGUGGAUGCCCUGGCAGUCAGAGGCGAUGAAGGACGUGCUAAUCUGCGAAAAGCGCCGGCGAGGUGAUAUGAACCUUUGACCCGGCGAUGUCCGAAUGGGGAAACCCAGUGCAAUUCGUUGCACUAUCGUUAACUGAAUACAUAGGUUAACGAGGCGAACCGGGGGAACUGAAACAUCUAAGUACCCCGAGGAAAAGAAAUCAACCGAGAUUCCCCCAGUAGCGGCGAGCGAACGGGGAGCAGCCCAGAGUCUGAAUCAGCUUGUGUGUUAGUGGAAGCGUCUGGAAAGUCGCACGGUACAGGGUGACAGUCCCGUACACGAAAGCACACAGGUUGUGAACUCGAAGAGUAGGGCGGGACACGUGGUAUCCUGUCUGAAUAUGGGGGGACCAUCCUCCAAGGCUAAAUACUCCUGACUGACCGAUAGUGAACCAGUACCGUGAGGGAAAGGCGAAAAGAACCCCGGCGAGGGGAGUGAAAAAGAACCUGAAACCGUGUACGUACAAGCAGUGGGAGCACCUUCGUGGUGUGACUGCGUACCUUUUGUAUAAUGGGUCAGCGACUUAUAUUCUGUAGCAAGGUUAACCGUAUAGGGGAGCCGAAGGGAAACCGAGUCUUAACUGGGCGUUAAGUUGCAGGGUAUAGACCCGAAACCCGGUGAUCUAGCCAUGGGCAGGUUGAAGGUUGGGUAACACUAACUGGAGGACCGAACCGACUAAUGUUGAAAAAUUAGCGGAUGACUUGUGGCUGGGGGUGAAAGGCCAAUCAAACCGGGAGAUAGCUGGUUCUCCCCGAAAGCUAUUUAGGUAGCGCCUCGUGAACUCAUCUUCGGGGGUAGAGCACUGUUUCGGCUAGGGGGCCAUCCCGGCUUACCAACCCGAUGCAAACUACGAAUACCGAAGAAUGUUAUCACGGGAGACACACGGCGGGUGCUAACGUCCGUCGUGAAGAGGGAAACAACCCAGACCGCCAGCUAAGGUCCCAAAGUCAUGGUUAAGUGGGAAACGAUGUGGGAAGGCACAGACAGCCAGGAUGUUGGCUUAGAAGCAGCCAUCAUUUAAAGAAAGCGUAAUAGCUCACUGGUCGAGUCGGCCUGCGCGGAAGAUGUAACGGGGCUAAACCAUGCACCGAAGCUGCGGCAGCGACGCUUAUGCGUUGUUGGGUAGGGGAGCGUUCUGUAAGCCGUUGAAGGUGUGCUGUGAGGCAUGCUGGAGGUAUCAGAAGUGCGAAUGCUGACAUAAGUAACGAUAAAGCGGGUGAAAAGCCCGCUCGCCGGAAGACCAAGGGUUCCUGUCCAACGUUAAUCGGGGCAGGGUGAGUCGACCCCUAAGGCGAGGCCGAAAGGCGUAGUCGAUGGGAAACAGGUUAAUAUUCCUGUACUUGGUGUUACUGCGAAGGGGGGACGGAGAAGGCUAUGUUAGCCGGGCGACGGUUGUCCCGGUUUAAGCAUGUAGGCGGAACGAUUAGGUAAAUCCGGUCGUUUAUUAACGCUGAGGUGUGAUGACGAGGCACUACGGUGCUGAAGUAACAAAUGCCCUGCUUCCAGGAAAAGCCUCUAAGCAUCAGGUAACAUCAAAUCGUACCCCAAACCGACACAGGUGGUCAGGUAGAGAAUACCAAGGCGCUUGAGAGAACUCGGGUGAAGGAACUAGGCAAAAUGGUGCCGUAACUUCGGGAGAAGGCACGCUGAUAUGUAGGUGAAGCCCCUGCGGGUGGAGCUGAAAUCAGUCGAAGAUACCAGCUGGCUGCAACUGUUUAUUAAAAACACAGCACUGUGCAAACACGAAAGUGGACGUAUACGGUGUGACGCCUGCCCGGUGCCGGAAGGUUAAUUGAUGGGGUUAGCGGCAACGCGAAGCUCUUGAUCGAAGCCCCGGUAAACGGCGGCCGUAACUAUAACGGUCCUAAGGUAGCGAAAUUCCUUGUCGGGUAAGUUCCGACCUGCACGAAUGGCGUAAUGAUGGCCAGGCUGUCUCCACCCGAGACUCAGUGAAAUUGAACUCGCUGUGAAGAUGCAGUGUACCCGCGGCAAGACGGAAAGACCCCGUGAACCUUUACUAUAGCUUGACACUGAACACUGGUCCUUGAUGUGUAGGAUAGGUGGGAGGCUUUGAAGCGUGGACGCCAGUCUGCGUGGAGCCGACCUUGAAAUACCACCCUUUAAUGGCUGGUGUUCUAACGUAGACCCGUGAUCCGGGUUGCGGACAGUGUCUGGUGGGUAGUUUGACUGGGGCGGUCUCCUCCCAAAGAGUAACGGAGGAGCACGAAGGUUAGCUAAUCCUGGUCGGACAUCAGGAGGUUAGUGCAAUGGCAUAAGCUAGCUUGACUGCGAGAGUGACGGCUCGAGCAGGUGCGAAAGCAGGUCAUAGUGAUCCGGUGGUUCUGAAUGGAAGGGCCAUCGCUCAACGGAUAAAAGGUACUCCGGGGAUAACAGGCUGAUACCGCCCAAGAGUUCAUAUCGACGGCGGUGUUUGGCACCUCGAUGUCGGCUCAUCACAUCCUGGGGCUGAAGUAGGUCCCAAGGGUAUGGCUGUUCGCCAUUUAAAGUGGUACGCGAGCUGGGUUUAGAACGUCGUGAGACAGUUCGGUCCCUAUCUGCCGUGGGCGCUGGAGAAUUGAGGGGGGCUGCUCCUAGUACGAGAGGACCGGAGUGGACGCAUCACUGGUGUUCGGGUUGUCAUGCCAAUGGCACUGCCCGGUAGCUAAAUGCGGAAAAGAUAAGUGCUGAAAGCAUCUAAGCACGAAACUUGCCCCGAGAUGAGUUCUCCCUGACCCUUUAAGGGUCCUGAAGGAACGUUGAAGACUACGACGUUGAUAGGUCGGGUGUGUAAGCGCAGCGAUGCGUUGAGCUAACCGAUACUAAUGAACCGUGAGGCUUAACCUU
rnacentral:rRNA from 1 species